rnacentral:piRNA from 1 species
UGGGUGUUUGCCAGGUGAGGAUGUGCGUCU